rnacentral:lncRNA from 1 species
GCAUUUUUUUGUUUUUAACAGGAUCUAUUUGAUUAGAGUUAGAAGUGUGAUAGUAGAAGAUAUUGUGUUGAAUAAAAUUGAGUUAAACUGUGAUAUAGUUCCUUCAUCUUCAAGGGAAAACUGCAUACACAAUCCAUGAAGCAACUUCAGCUAUGCAUAUAGCAAGGAAUGCCCAUCAUAUGAUACUUGACACGAUAAAAACAGGAAUUCAAAUAUGAUUGCAUCAGCUUACAGGAUGGCCCAAGAGAAGUUGUCCAGCAAGGCCAUGUCUGUGUUUUGCAGCAAAGGUGUCAUAUUGACUGAUUACUUACAAAAAGGCAUACUAGAGGAACUUGCUGCAAAAGUUUUGGAACAAUAUCAACAAAAAAAAUGUGAUUUGCUUUUAAAAUAUGUGUUGCUGCUAACUAACAAUGCACCUGUACAUAGAGCUGCAGAAAUAGUCAUUUUUCUCUGCAGCUGUAACUAUGAAACUUUAC